rnacentral:sRNA from 1 species
UCCUGUGGUCCAACUCUCUGCACUUGCUACUCAAAGAGCAAGAAGAAAGGGAGAGUCUGCAUCUCUAGGCUAGCCCUUCAACAAUGACUGACCUAUGAUUGAUGGAUUGCUGAAGGAAGCAAAAAGUGAAUCUGUCUUGGAAUUUUGCUUCGACUCAGCCUCCUGCUGUGAGUGAGGCCACACACCUGUGAGUCAGAACUCUCUCCCACCUUCGAGGAAAUCCAACUUAUUGUUGACAGUUCUGCUCUGUGCAACAACGAUCGGUAUGACUGGGCCUCGGUGUGAAACUGUGGAAAGACUGCAAUACCGCUUCACGUUUUGGACAGCAUUCACUUUAGCCCAACAAUAAGCCUGUGAAGAAAGAAGACUGGUUACACACGUCAUUGUGUUUACCAACUUUACCCUCUGGAUCAAUGUCUUUAAAUACAACUGAAUCCAUUUGUGAGAAACAUUCCAUGGGCCAGCAAUGAUGUUGGAAUCCGUAUUACUGCUUUUGGUAGUGUUCACGCCAUCGAUGCAUUCCUACCACCCGAAAACCUUGUUUGAGAGAAUUUUCCCAAGCAUCAUUAACCUCAUAAGGGCCAAUAAGGAAGUCCAAGAGCAGUGAGAUGUUAAAAGUCUUCACUGACUGCAAGGUUACUAUGGAAAUGAAGUUUUUAAAACUGAAAACGAAAAGCUGACAAGAUAGCUCAGUGGGUGUGUGUUUGCUUGCCGUGCAAGUAUGAGGACAUGAGUUCAAGUACUCAGAACGACGGAAGGCCAGGGGUGAUAGCAUGGAUCUGUAAUCCUCGCACACCAAUGAUGAAAUAGGCGUGGAGACGGGAGAAACCCCUGAAGCUUGCAAGCCAGUUAGCUGGGUAUUUAUAAACUGAAGAGUCUCUGGCCUCUCCUACCAUGCCGUGCCCCUGUACACACACACAGUUUAAAGAGGGAUUCUCUCUGUUUCAGCAAAAUCUUCCAAAAGGUGAGGACAGUUGGCCAUCAUUCUACCUUUGGAUUGGGAGCUUUCUUCUAACGAAAAAAUUUCACCCUUCAUCUAAGUAAUUCCUUCAGUCUCGGUACAGACAUGACUACUCUGAGCUUGCAGACUUCCAUGUAAGUUACAUCUGAAGGCACUUGUUGAUAAUGAGCAGAGUGCGUAAACACCAUCCACCUGGACGACGUACAUCCCCCAGUCUCGAUGUGUACUCAAAAAGGUCACUCUUGUGUUGAGGAAGAGAAGCCUGUCUGCCUCAUUCUCUACACUGCGUAUACAUUUUCCUUUUGGGGAGGUAAGUGGCACCUAUAUCCAGGGGAAAGCUGGGUCCUGAAAAAUGUAGUUAGAUGGGUAAAUCAAGUCCCCUCAUAAGGCUCUGUGAAAGAGUAAAGAGUCAAGCAAACACCGCCUUUCCUACAGACCCUUACACAACUGAAACAAAUCCUCUCCCACAGCAGAUCUUCAGGAAGCUCUUCUAUAGGUCUGUGUGAUAGAACCAAUGGGAAUCUCUGUCGCACUGUGAGGCACAGUGAGUAGUGGGUGAGAGGGCACACGGAACCAAAAUGGCUGCCUCCUCUUCUGCUUUCUAGUGGUGGGAGUACCUCAGAACCGGAACCGUUACUCACC